GACAGAGGUGCCAAGCGUUAGGCGGAAUCACUGGGCUUAAAGCGUGUGUAGGCGGAUAUCUAAGUACCUUGUGGAAAUCCCACGGCUCAACCGUGGAACUGCUUGGUAUACUGGGUGUCUUGAGCCAUCUAGGGGCUACCGGAACAAAUGGUGGAGCGGGUGAAAUUGCGUAGAUAUCAUUUGGAACGCCAAUGGUGAAAACAGGUAGCUGGGGAUGUGCUGACGUGAGACACGAAAGCCAGGGGAGCAAACGGG
rnacentral:rRNA from 1 species